rnacentral:rRNA from 1 species
CCUACGGGAGGCAGCAGUGAGGAAUAUUGGACAAUGGACGAGAGUCUGAACCAGCAAAGUAGCGUGAAGGAUGACUGCCCUAUGGGUGGGAAACUUCUUUUAUAAAGGAAUAAAACGAGGCACGUGUGCCUUUUUGCAUGUCCUUUAUGAAUAAGGAUGGGCUAACUCCGUGCCAGCAGCCGCGGUAAUACGGAGGAUCCGAGCGUUAUCCGGAUGUAUUGGGUUUAAAGGGAGCGUAGAUGGGUUGUUAAGUCAGUUGUGAAAGUUUGCGGCUCAACCGUAAAAUUGCAAUUGAUACUGGCAGUCUUGAGUACAGUUGAGGUAGGCGGAAUUCGUGGUGUAGCGGUGAAAUGCUUAGAUAUCACGAAGAACCCCGAUUGCGAAGGCAGCUUACUAAACUGUGACUGACAUUGAUGCUCGAAAGUGUGGGUAUCAAACAGGAUUAGAUACCCGAGUAGUC